AGUGAACGCUGGCGGUAGGCCUAACACAUGCAAGUCGAACGGCAGCACAGUAAGAGCUUGCUCUUACGGGUGGCGAGUGGCGGACGGGUGAGGAAUACAUCGGCAUCUACUUUUUCGUGGGGGAUAACGUAGGGAAACUUACGCUAAUACCGCAUACGACCUACGGGUGAAAGCAGGGGAUCUUCGGACCUUGCGCGAUUGAAUGAGCCGAUGUCGGAUUAGCUAGUUGGCGGGGUAAAGGCCCACCAAGGCGACGAUCCGUAGCUGGUCUGAGAGGAUGAUCAGCCACACUGGAACUGAGACACGGUCCAGACUCCUACGGGAGGCAGCAGUGGGGAAUAUUGGACAAUGGGCGCAAGCCUGAUCCAGCCAAACCGCGUGGGUGAAGAAGGCCUUCGGGUUGUAAAGCCCUUUUGUUGGGAAAGAAAAGCAGCAGGUUAAUACCCCGCUGUUCUGACGGUACCCAAAGAAUAAGCACCGGCUAACUUCGUG
rnacentral:rRNA from 1 species